rnacentral:rRNA from 1 species
AUGGCAUAACGAGGGCUUAGCUGUCUCCUUUUUCCAGUCAAUGAAAUUGAUCUCCCCGUGCAGAAGCGGGGAUUAUUACAUAAGACGAGAAGACCCUAUGGAGCUUUAGACACUAAAGUGGAUCAUGUCAAUGACCCUAAAUAAAGGAUUGAACAAGAUGGAACCCACCCUGAUGUCUUUGGUUGGGGCGACCGCGGGGAAAUAAAUAACCCCCAUGUGGAAUGGGAGCACCCCUCCUACAGCUGAGAGUUACAACUCUAAUAAACAGAAUUUCUGACCAAAAAGAUCCGGCAAUGCCGAUCAACGGACCUAGUUACCCUAGGGAUAACAGCGCAAUCCUCUUUUAGAGCCCAUAUCGACAAGGGGGUUUACGACCUCGAUGUUGGAUCAGGACAUCCUAAUGGUGCAGCCGCUAUUA